rnacentral:rRNA from 1 species
AGUGAACGCUGGCGGUGUGCCUAACACAUGCAAGUCGAACGGCAAGACAGUAAGAGCUUGCUCUUACGGUUGGCGAGUGGCGGACGGGUGAGGAAUAGAUCGCAAUCUACUUUUACGGGGGUGAUUACGUGGGGAAACUUAUGCUAAUACCGCAUACAUUGUACGGGUGAAAUCAGUGGUGCAACACACCUUUCGUGUUUCAUUUAGCCGAUGUCGCAUUAGCUAGUUGGGAUGGUAAGGGCCCACCAAGGCGACGAUCCGUAGCUGGUCUGAGAGGAUGAUCAGCCACACUGGAACUGAGACACGGUCCAGACUCCUACGGGAGGCAGCAGUAGGGAAUAUUCGACAAUGGGCGCAAGCCUGAUGCAGCAAUACCGCGUGAGUGAAGAAGGCCUUCGGAUUGUAAAGCCCUUUUGUUGGGAAAGAACAGCAGCAGGUUAAUCCCCCGCUGUUCUGACGGUACCCAAACAGUAAGCAACGGCUAACUUCGUG